CCUGUCCGAUCUGAUAAAAGUUAUUAUGCUAUCUCUCAACUGUCAAAACAAAUCUCAGAUAAGAUUCACUUGGCGUCGGAAGUGCAGUUCUAAACUAAAUUUCCACUGGCCCGUCUUCACUUAGAUAGACUUGUAGCAGCAUUUGAGGCGCGUGAUGCUCUUCACCAGCUGUCUGACGGUAUCAUUCAGAUCUUCUUUGCACAGCGCGGCGGAGCUCUGUGCGUGAGAAUCAAAUUCAAACCGCAACCGAAUAAAAGCGCUACCUCAGGCCCCCAUUCUUGAGUUGUUUCUGAAGACACGAUUUGAUCCUCGUCUUGAUAGUAGAACUGUGGAGUUAUUAUACUUACUUCGAAACAAGUGCGUUACUUCUUAGCCGACAUGUUUCAAGUGAAGAGGGUUAUAUUUAAAUAUAAAAAGAGGUAAAAUGCAUUAAAUUAUACAGCCUCUGCUAUUCAGUCCAAAAUAUCGUUGGUAUUACGCGUAUAUUCAUACUACGCAAAAAAGAAUUCACCAGGAAAGGAAGUGAGAAAAAUAAUCGGGUGAUCAAGAACACGUAAGAGGAACGAGAAAAGAAUAAAGAAGAUAAUAGAAUAGGAAGACGAGGAGGAGAGGUUCGAAUUACACUUUACACCUGGCCUUCGCGUUCCUCAUUUACAUACGACUUGAAGAAAGGCUUACACGUUUCUCGGACGUUGGAAACGAAUAGCAUUUUAUGCAAAUAUGACGACGACAACAACUCCUUGGAACAAGAUUCAAAGUUAAGCAACUCAUUUUUUCUCAAGAACCCUUCAACAAUUUCCAGUCCUAUUAAUACUCUUCAUAUCAAGCACUAGCAUCAGACGACUAGACGCAAACCUCAUGGCUAAGUGGCAAGAUAAGUGGUCAACGGGCACCCACGGAUGAUGCACAAGGCGCCUAUCUUUACGACAAUGUGAAGUUUAGAUU